AUAUUGGCGAGAGACCGAUAGCGAACAAGUACCGUGAGGGAAAGAUGAAAAGCACUUUGGAAAGAGAAUGAAAUAGUACAUGAAAUUGCUGAAAGGGAAACGAGUGAAGUUAGACUUGCGCGGUUGGUAUUCAGCCUUGGCUUCGGUCUUGGUGCAUUUGCCAAUCAUUGCAGGCCAGCAUCAGUUUACUUUGCUGUAAAAGGGUUGGAGGAACGUGGCUCUUUCGGGAGUGUUAUAGCCUCCUUCUGGAUGCAGAAUCGUAGACUGAGGAACGCAGCGCGCCAUUAUGGCAAAGCUUUUAAGCUUCGAGCGCUAAGGAUGCUGGUAGAAUAGCUUUACACGACCCGUCUUGAAACACGGACC
rnacentral:rRNA from 1 species